AUUGAACGCUGGCGGCAGGCUUAACACAUGCAAGUCGAGCGGAGUGAUGGUGCUUGCACUAUCACUUAGCGGCGGACGGGUGAGUAAUGCUUAGGAAUCUGCCUAUUAGUGGGGGACAACAUCUCGAAAGGGAUGCUAAUACCGCAUACGUCCUACGGGAGAAAGCAGGGGAUCACUUGUGACCUUGCGCUAAUAGAUGAGCCUAAGUCGGAUUAGCUAGUUGGUGGGGUAAAGGCCUACCAAGGCGAUGAUCUGUAGCGGGUCUGAGAGGAUGAUCCGCCACACUGGGACUGAGACACGGCCCAGACUCCUACGGGAGGCAGCAGUGGGGAAUAUUGGACAAUGGGGGGAACCCUGAUCCAGCCAUGCCGCGUGUGUGAAGAAGGCCUUAUGGUUGUAAAGCACUUUAAGCGAGGAGGAGGCUCUUUUGGUUAAUACCCAAGAUGAGUGGACGUUACUCGCAGAAUAAGCACCGGCUAACUCUGUGCCAGCAGCCGCCGUAAUAC
rnacentral:rRNA from 1 species